rnacentral:rRNA from 1 species
GAUGAACGCUGGCGGCGUGCCUAAUACAUGCAAGUCGAGCGAACAGACGAGGAGCUUGCUCCUCUGACGUUAGCGGCGGACGGGUGAGUAACACGUGGAUAACCUACCUAUAAGACUGGGAUAACUUCGGGAAACCGGAGCUAAUACCGGAUAAUAUGUUGAACCGCAUGGUUCAAUAGUGAAAGACGGUUUUGCUGUCACUUAUAGAUGGAUCCGCGCCGCAUUAGCUAGUUGGUAAGGUAACGGCUUACCAAGGCAACGAUGCGUAGCCGACCUGAGAGGGUGAUCGGCCACACUGGAACUGAGACACGGUCCAGACUCCUACGGGAGGCAGCAGUAGGGAAUCUUCCGCAAUGGGCGAAAGCCUGACGGAGCAACGCCGCGUGAGUGAUGAAGGUCUUCGGAUCGUAAAACUCUGUUAUUAGGGAAGAACAAAUGUGUAAGUAACUAUGCACGUCUUGACGGUACCUACUCAGAAAGCCACGGCUAACUACGUG